GGGGAUGUAGCUCAGUGGUAGAGCGCUCGAUUCGCAUUCGAGAUGCCAGGGGUUCGAUCCCCCUCAUCUCCA
rnacentral:tRNA from 1 species